rnacentral:lncRNA from 1 species
GUGUCUCAAGCUGCUUUGAGACGCAUUGCUGAAGAUUUAUUGAGAGUUAAUUAUGUUGGAACUAACAGGAAAAUACGUGGUUGUACUCUUAGAACAUCUUAUGGGUUACCUUGUGCUUGUGAGUUAGGAAGAUACACACUUGGUGGUAUACUGAUACCAAUAAAUGUUAUUCAUGUUCAUUGGAGGAAAUUAAGUAUAGAAGUUGAGUUGUUGGUAGAUGUAGAUGAUGGACUAAAG